rnacentral:rRNA from 1 species
ACACGUGGGUAACCUGCCUUAUAGUGGGGGAGUAGCCUUUCGAAAGGAAGAUUAAUACCGCAUAAGAUUGUAGUAUCGCAUGAUAUAGCAAUUAAAGGAGCAAUCCGCUAUAAGAUGGACCCGCGUCGCAUUAGCUAGUUGGUGAGGUAAUGGCUCACCAAGGCGACGAUGCGUAGCCGACCUGAGAGGGUGAUCGGCCACAUUGGGACUGAGACACGGCCCAGACUCCUACGGGAGGCAGCAUG